rnacentral:rRNA from 1 species
AGGGGGAUAACUACUGGAAACGGUAGCUAAUACCGCAUAACGUCGCAAGACCAAAGAGGGGGACCUUCGGGCCUCUUGCCAUCGGAUGUGCCCAGAUGGGAUUAGCUAGUAGGUGGGGUAACGGCUCACCUAGGCAACGAUCCCUAGCUGGUCUGAGAGGAUGACCAGCCACACUGGAACUGAGACACGGUCCAGACUCCUACGGGAGGCAGCAGUGGGGAAUAUUGCACAAUGGGCGCAAGCCUGAUGCAGCCAUGCCGCGUGUAUGAAGAAGGCCUUCGGGUUGUAAAGUACUUUCAGCGGGGAGGAAGGGAGUAAAGUUAAUACCUUUGCUCAUUGACGUUACCCGCAGAAGAAGCACCGGCUAACUCCGUGCCAGCAGCCGCGGUAAUACGGAGGGUGCAAGCCGUAAUCGGAAUACUG